AAAGUAAGGAUUUCGAUUAGCACUCGAUUUUAUUACCUGAUGCAGAAUGAAAUAUUUCCAACUUCUUUUAAUAAUUGUUUAUUUGAAUUAUGUUAAAUUAGUACCCGACGAAUACUGCCUCUCCCCCCUAAACCGAAGCGACUGCGGGACACCCCCGACCCCCGUCUUCUCAUACUUCAAGUACGGCUCGAGGUGCGAGAUCGAGACCUGGCGCGGCUGUCCCACAGAUAAUAUGUUCGAAAACGAGUAUCACUGCGUUCAUUACUGUAUAGGAAGGACGAAGUACUAUGGACGGGAAAGAGGUUCCUGGAAAGGGACAGUCGGAAUUUCCAUAGAAAAGUUGAGUUUUGCCGAACUAGAAGAAGUAAAUCGCAUUGUUGACAAAAUAGUUAUCACAAUCGAAUCAAAACAAAUGUUAUUACAUAAGAAAAAUGGGAAAAAACCCAAGAAAUCAAAUAAAACUACAAUUAAAGCCGGUGAAGAUUCAGAUGAAACAACCACAGUUGAAGCCAGUGAAGAAGAUAUGGACGAAACAGGAGAAGAAUAUGAUGAGCUUGUCGACACAACACUGAUAUAUUUGACACAAGAACCUGUUACAGGCAAACAUAUAAUGAAAGGAGAAAUUCUAAGGUUUAAACGAAAUACAACCAAACACUUUCUUUAACAUCAAGUUAAAGUCUACAAAUCCAUAUUAGAUAAAGUUCAUCUUGCUGAAAAGGGAAAUAAAAAUCAUGAAUGAAAAAUAAACGAGUUGUUUUUCAAAAAUAAAUCA